AUUGAACGCUGGCGGCAGGCCUAACACAUGCAAGUCGAGCGGAGCGGCGGACGGGUGCGUAAUGCCUAGGAAUCUGCCUGGUAGUGGGGGAUAACGUCCGGAAAUGGGCGCUAAUACCGCAUACUAUCAGAUUAGCCUAGGUCGGAUUAGCUAGUUGGUGGGGGAAAGGCCUCCCAAGGCCACGAUCCGUAACUGGUCCGAGGGGAGGAUCAGUAACACGGGAACUGAGAAACGGUCCAGACUCCUACGGGAGGCAGCAGUGGGGAAUAUUGGACAAUGGGCGAAAGCCUGAUACAGCCAGGCCGCGUGGGUGAAGAAGGUCUUCGGAUUGUAAAGUACUUUAAGUUGGGAGGCGUUACCAGCAGAAUAAGCACCGGCUAACUUCGUGCCAGCAGCCGCGGUAAUAC
rnacentral:rRNA from 1 species